rnacentral:lncRNA from 1 species
GGGCUGGACCCAGGCUCCCAGGCUGUGAGCUUUGCGGGGAGACGAGAUAGCCGUGCUUCUGCGGACUCUCCAGAUGAACACCGACUUUGGAAAAAACCGACAAGCAGAGCAGCUAAGGUUCAAAUUUGCUGGCUAACUGAAAGCAUCAGGUUUAACCUACGCCCUUAGGUGCCCCACCUGUAA